UACAGAGGUCCCAAGCGUUGUUCGGAUUCAUUGGGCGUAAAGGGUGCGUAGGUGGCGCCGUAAGUCGGGUGUGAAAUCUCGGAGCUUAACUCCGAAACUGCAUUCGAUACUGCCGUGCUUGAGGACUGGAGAGGAGACUGGAAUUUACGGUGUAGCAGUGAAAUGCGUAGAGAUCGUAAGGAAGACCAGUGGCGAAGGCGGGUCUCUGGACAGUUCCUGACACUGAGGCACGAAGGCCAGGGGAGCAAACGGG
rnacentral:rRNA from 1 species